AGGACUAUGUUAGCAAACUCACUAGGCAUAAAUCUGAGGUCUGUGGGCUCAAGUGGUCUUAUGAUAACCGUCAGCUUGCGUCUGGUGGAAAUGACAACAAACUUUUUGUUUGGAAUCAACAUUCGGUAAAGCCAGUGCUGAAGUAUACUGAGCACACAGCAGUGUCACCUCAUCUACAUGGCCUUCUUGCAUCUGGCGGAGGAACUGCAGAUAGAUGCAUACGCUUUUGGAAUACAACCACAAAUACACACUUGAGUUCCAUGGAUACAGGGAGUCAGGU